rnacentral:rRNA from 1 species
UCGAGAAUCUUCGGCAAUGGGCGCAAGCCUGACCGAGCGACGCCGCGUGGAGGACGAAGGCCUUCGGGUUGUAAACUCCUGUCGAGGGGGAAGAAAGCCUCGCAAGGGGUGUGACUGAUCCCUGGAGGAAGCACGGGCUAAGUUCGUGCCAGCAGCCGCGGUAAGACGAACCGUGCGAACGUUAUUCGGAAUCACUGGGCUUAAAGCGCGUGUAGGCGGGACGGCACGUCCGGCGCUGAAAUCCCCCGGCUCAACCGGGGAACGGGCGCGGAUACGACCGUCCUGGAGGAACGUAGGGGGACCUGGAACUUCCGGUGGAGCGGUGAAAUGCGUUGAGAUCGGAAGGAACGCCCGUGGCGAAAGCGAGGUCCUGGACGUUUUCUGACGCUGAGACGCGAAAGCCAGGGGAGCGAACGGGAUUAGAUACCCCCGUAGUCC